AUUGAACGCUGGCGGCAUGCUUUACACAUGCCAGUCGAACGGCAGCGCGGGCUUCGGCCUGGCGGCGAGUGGCGAACGGGUGAGUAAUGCAUCGGAACGUGCCCAGUAGUGGGGGAUAGCCCGGCGAAAGCCGGAUUAAUACCGCAUACGACCUGAGGGUGAAAGCGGGGGACCGAAAGGCCUCGCGCUAUUGGAGCGGCCGAUGUCGGAUUAGCUAGUUGGUGGGGUAAAGGCUUACCAAGGCGACGAUCCGUAGCUGGUCUGAGAGGACGACCAGCCACACUGGGACUGAGACACGGCCCAGACUCCUACGGGAGGCAGCAGUGGGGAAUUUUGGACAAAGGGGGCAACCCUGAUCCAGCCAUGCCGCGUGCGGGAAGAAGGCCUUCGGGUUGUAAACCGCUUUUGUUCGGGAAGAAAUCCUCUGGGCUAAUACCCCGGGGGGAUGACGGUACCGGAAGAAUAAGCACCGGCUAACUACGUG
rnacentral:rRNA from 1 species